AGCUUUGCGCAGUGGCAGUAUCGUAGCCAAUGAGGUUUAUCCGAGGCGCGAUUAUUGCUAAUUGAAAAAUGACAAGCUUUAACUGGCUAAGUUAACUAACUUAGUUUGCUCUACAGAGCUGACUCUGUAUUUGCUAACCCCACUCAGGU
rnacentral:snRNA from 1 species